UUAUUGCAUGUGUACAUCUUCGAGUUAGGGCAUAUAAAAGGACAAAAAUAUCGGGAUUUACCAGAGCUGGUCUGAUCUCCCUACAGAAAGCUACAAGAUGAACAAGUGUCUCGCCCUGAUCCUGAUCCCAUGUCUAGUGGCCUUUGUUGUGGCCCAGUACCCCGGAUAUGGUACCCCCGGGUACGGGAUGGCAGGCUACGGUUCCGGUAGCGGUCUGAGUAACUACUACUACAACUACGGAAACCAACAACAGAAACAGAGCUCCAAUUUCGCCCUCUUGAUCUCUGGUCUCCUGCUGUUGUUCGCCUUCAACAUAACAGGAACCCUGACUGGUUAGACUUAACCAAGGGAGGUGGAGAUCGGCCGCCGGGUACUCAUAAAAAUCAUGAUUCCACAAGACUGUCAAACAUAACUGUGAUAUUGCGCGAUGUAUCUGUAUUGUUGCUGUUGUUGUUAUUGUUAUUUAUUACCCUUAUUAAAAAUACUGUCCAAAACAUA